rnacentral:rRNA from 1 species
UACGUAGGGUGCAAGCGUUAAUCGGAAUUACUGGGCGUAAAGCGUGCGCAGGCGGCUAUGCAAGACAGAUGUGAAAUCCCCGGGCUCAACCUGGGAACUGCAUUGUGACUGCAUGGCUAGAGUGCGGCAGAGGGGGAUGGAAUUCCGCGUGUAGCAGUGAAUGCGUAGAUAUGCGGAGGAACACCGAUGGCGAAGGCAAUCCCCUGGGCCUGCACUGACGCUCAUGCACGAAAGCGUGGGGAGCAAACAGG